rnacentral:rRNA from 1 species
UACAGAGGUGGCAAGCGUUGUUCGGAUUUACUGGGCGUAAAGGGUGCGUAGGCGGUUUUGUGUGUCGGAUGUGAAAUCCCACGGAUUAUCCGUGGAACUGCAUUCGAAACUGCAGAGCUGGAGUGCAGGAGAGGAAAGUGGAAUUCUCGGUGUAGCGGUGAAAUGCGUUGAUAUCGAGAGGAACGCCGGAGGCGAAGGCGACUUUCUGGACUGCAACUGACGCUGAGGCACGAAAGCUAGGGGAGCAAACAGG